UACGUAGGGUGCAAGCGUUGUCCGGAAUUAUUGGGCGUAAAGGGCGCGUAGGCGGUGUGUCAAGUCAGGCGUGAAAGCCCCGGGCUCAACCUGGGAACCGCGCUUGAGACUGGCACGCUCGAGUUCGGGAGAGGAUGGUGGAAUCCCCAGUGUAGAGGUGAAAUUCGUAGAUAUUGGGAAGAACACCGAUGGCGAAGGCAGCCAUCUGGACCGACACUGACGCUGAGGCGCGAAAGCGUGGGGAGCAAACGGG
rnacentral:rRNA from 1 species